rnacentral:rRNA from 1 species
AUUGAACGCUGGCGGCAGGCCUAACACAUGCAAGUCGAGCGGAGCGGCGGACGGGGGAGUAAUGCCUAGGAAUCUGCCCGGUAGUGGGGGAUCACGUCCGGAAACGGACGCUAAUAUCGCAUACUAUCAGAUGAGCCUAGGUCGGAUGAGCUAGUUGGGGGGGUAAAGGCCUACCAAGGCCACGAUGCGUAACUGGUCUGAGGGGAUGAUCAGUCACACUGGGACUGAGACACGGCCCAGACUCCUACGGGAGGCAGCAGUGGGGAAUAUUGGACAAUGGGCGAAAGCCUGAUCCAGCCAUGCCGCGUGGGUGAAGAAGGUCUUCGGAUCGUAAAGCACUUUAAGUUGGGAGGCGUUACCAACAGAAUAAGCACCGGCUAACUUCGUGCCAGCAGCCGCGGUAAUUC